rnacentral:rRNA from 1 species
UACAGAGGUCCCAAGCGUUGUUCGGAUUCACUGGGCGUAAAGGGUGCGUAGACGGUCGGGUAAGUCUGAUGUGAAAUCUCACAGCUUAACUGUGAAACUGCAUUGGAUACUAUCCGGCUCGAGGAAUGGAGGGGAGACUGGAAUACUUGGUGUAGCAGUGAAAUGCGUAGAUAUCAAGUGGAACACCAGUGGCGAAGGCGAGUCUCUGGACAUUUCCUGACGCUGAGGCACGAAAGCCAGGGGAGCAAACGGG